GACGAACGCUGGCGGCGUGGAUUAGGCAUGCAAGUCGAACGGUAUCAUCCUUUCGGGGGUGAGAGAGUGGCGAACUGGUGAGUAACACGUAGGUUAUCUACCCUCAAGACGGGGACAACCCAGGGAAACUUGGGCUAAUACCGGAUGUGAGCAACUUUUAGUUGUUUGAAAGGUGGCGUAAGCUGUCGCUUGGGGAUGAGCCUGCGUCCUAUUAGUUAGUUGGUGAGGUAACGGCUCACCUAGGCAAUGAUAGGUAGGCGGCCUUAACGGGUGGUCGCCCACACUGGGAUUGAGAUACGGCCCAGACUCCUACGGGAGGCAGCAGUCGAGAAUAGUCUACAAUGGUCGGAAGACUGAUAGUGCGACGCCGCGUGAACGAUGAAUCCCUUCGGGUGUAAGUUCUUUUAUAUGUGAGCAGUGCUUCUUAUAUUAACAGUAUGGGGAGAGAGAUAUUAGCAUAUGAAUAAGCAACGGCUAACUCCGUGCCAGCAGCCGCGGU
rnacentral:rRNA from 1 species